rnacentral:rRNA from 1 species
GAUGAACGCUGGCGGUAUGCCUAACACAUGCAAGUCGUACGAGAGUUUUUAACUCUAGUGGCGGACGGGUGAGUAACACGUGAGAAUUUGCCUUUAGGAGGGGGAUAACAAUUGGAAACGAAUGCUAAUACCCCAUAUGCUUUUGAGUGAAAUGGAUUUUAUCCGCCUAGAGAGAAGCUCGCGGCUGAUUAGCUUGUUGGUAAGGUAAGAGCUUACCAAGGCGACGAUCAGUAUCUGGUUUGAGAGGACGAUCAGACACACUGGAACUGAGACACGGUCCAGACUCCUACGGGAGGCAGCAGUGGGGAAUUUUCCGCAAUGGGCGAAAGCCUGACGGAGCAAUACCGCGUGAGGGAAGAAUGCCUAUGGGUUGUAAACCUUCUUUUUCAGGGAGGAAUAAAAUGACGUGUACCUGAAGAAUAAGCAUCGGCUAACUCCGUG